GACGAACGCUGGCGGCGUGCUUAACACAUGCAAGUCGAACGAAAAGAGGGAAAGAGCUUGCUCUUUCCGGAAUUGAGUGGCAAACGGGUGAGUAACACGUAAACAACCUGCCUUCAGGAUGGGGACAACAGACGGAAACGACUGCUAAUACCGAAUAAGUUCCAAGGGCCGCAUGGCCCAUGGAAGAAAAGGUGGCCUCUACCUGUAAGCUAUCGCCUGAAGAGGGGUUUGCGUCUGAUUAGCUGGUUGGAGGGGUAACGGCCCACCAAGGCGACGAACCGUAGCCGGUCUGAGAGGAUGAACGGCCACCCUGGAACUGAUACACGGUCCAGACUCCGACGGGAGGCAGCAGUGGGGAAUCUUCCGCAAUGGGCGAAAGCCUGACGGGGCAACGCCGCGUGAGUGAUGACGGCCUUCGGGUUGUAAAACUCUGUGAUCCGGGACGAAAAGGCAGAGUGCGAAGAACAAACUGCAUUGACGGUACCGGAAAAGCAAGCCACGGCUAACUACGUG
rnacentral:rRNA from 1 species